UAAUUAAUGGAGUUUUGAGUCUCUCUCUUUAUUCUCUCACUAAAAUCUCUUAAUCUCUUUAAUCUUUUCAUCUGAUUAUCCUGAUUGGUUGAAUCAUGCUCUAAUACACAAAAGUGUAUAUUAGUGGCUUCUUCUCACACACCCAGCCUGAGCUCUGAAAACCUAACAUGGUAUCAGAGCCAGGUUCAUCAGAACUUGGUUCCAGCUUCCGCAUAUACAUCACAAGUCUAGCCUCAUCACAGAUCCAAACCAUUGAAGAUGUCCAGCCUGUUCUCUCUCUUCAAAAAGAAGGUGUUUGAAGCUAUGGUGUUGUCUCCUGGUCGUUCCUCCUCUCUCCAGUCCAUUAAAGGCGUGUCUCAACUCUGUGCCAAGCUGAAACACUUCAAGAAGAAAGCUUUCAUCUUGUUCCUGAAGUUGGAGACUUGGAGCUGUGAAGAAAGGUGGAACCUUUUGUGUUGUGGUGUCAAGGAGGAGGUUAUGAACAUAAGGAGAAGGUGUUGGGUGACGAUCCAGCUCUCUUAUCCACUAGAUUCGUGGCCUGUUACCAAGGAGGCUCAAGGAACCAGCUCAGGUUCCUUGGUUGUAAGCUAAUCCUAAACCUUCUUGAUAUGAGCUUGUGAUUGAAACUGGCUGUUGUGUUGUGUUCUUUAUGUUGCAUCCGUGGGUUAAUGACUGAAAAUGCUUGAUAAUAUUGUCUUGUUUAGUCCCAGGAUGCUAUUGAGUCUUGUUUGAUGUUGAGAAAUGAAAUGCUUGCCCGGUUUGGUUAUGAUUGAGCUAGGAUGUUAGAAACUGUCUAAAUCCUAUUAGCUUUCAUUAAACUGAAAUAACUUAAGGUUUUGCAUUGUCUGAUGUUGAUUGAUGAUAAUACUGCUUAGCCACAGUUCUAAAUGAGUGUGUGAUAGAUUGUAUUGUCUGAUCAUGUUGCACUCAUGAAUUAGAAACUGUUUAAGGUUAUAUAGCAUACUGUCAUCUUGUUGCUGCCUUAGGUUGAUACACUUAGAUUCAAGUCUAAGGUGUAGUUAAGGUAGAAGUUAAAAUCCCUAAGUAGCUUGUCUUGAAUCUGAUUUGAUCUUGCUUGUACUUAGAGAGAUUGCUUGCAAAGAUGUGAACUUGAUAAUGCUUGUUUCAAUCUGUUGCAUAGCUUGUGACAUUGGAGAUCAAACUUGAUAUUAGUCAAGGAUUGAUCCCAAUGCUUGUGUUUUAUCUUUGCUGGAGUUUGAGUGAUGUUUCAGGUUCACAUGAUGUGCUCUGUGUCCAUCAUCAAUCCGAGUAGAAGAGGAAGACUUUACCCAUUGGGAAUGGUCACUGGGGUGUAUGUGGAUACACAAGGCGAGUGGUCAUCACCUAAGUCUAGAGGAGACCGGUGACCAGAAGGCAUUGGAGAUAAAGGGAAGGGUUUAUCAGUGGUUGAAGCGCACUCUAUGAGAUGUUGCGCUCCUGAUCUUAAGGCUCAUUGAGGCUCACUUCAAGCUUGGACCCAUACUCAAUCCAAGCUUGAGGAGGGGAGCAAAGUGAGCCACCUGAUGAUCCUGUUGCUCGAUGACCUGUGUUACUCAAGGCCAUUGCAAGCUGAUCAUGGAGUGAUCCAGCCGAAGUGGAGGGAAGAAGAAUGUCACUCAACAAGCUAGUGUGAGAUGCUUGGAGAGUGGGCUGAGGUAUCUCCUCAGUGCAAUGGUGAUGUAGUGGAGGAUUCAAGCAUCAAGUCUGAAAGAGAUGGAGGUGCUCUCCACAAGGCUUAUCAUGGAGCUAACAUGCGCUCACCAUCAAGCUUGGACCUUUCCUAUACUCGGUCUCAAGCUUGAGGGGGAGUGUGGAUGAGCUUGCAUGAUAAGAGAAGGAGCUGUUAAGCUCAGCAAGUGAGGGAUUCAAGUGGUGUGUGAAGAGCAGCCACUCCUCAACAUUUAAACAAGGGAGUACCUUACUUGGAGACUCAAUGGAGAGGAUCAGGUCGUUCCUAGCCUUUCAAGAUGGCAUGAAGUCAGGUGAAAGGGGGAGACACUAAGCCGGUUCUAUAGAAGAUUCUAAGAAGGUGUGGUGAAGUGAAGAGGCCGUGAUCCAGAGCCUAUGUGCCUAAACCUCAGUGAUACUAAGGCACAUAGGCUCACUGGCCAAUCCCUAGGCCUUGAAGGCUCUACUCUUUUUCCCUCAUCAAGGUUUUGUCCCAAAGGGUUUUCCUUGGUGAGGUUUUUAAUGAGGGAGUUCUUCAAGGUUCCAAGCUUGGCUUAGGAUCACCUAGAGUCAAGUUUGAGGGGGAGUGUUGACUUGAAGAAAGAAAUGGAGCCAAAGGAGGAGUUGGGUUGAGUUUGGGUCUUGAGCGAGAAUGGGGCAAGACCUCCGGAGAUUGUCUAUCAAGGCUUUAGGAGUGUUCAGGAGUGUCCAGAAGUAUCCAAAUGAGGUGUGCAAAGUUAGGGUCAAGUCCAGGAGGGACUUAGACAUACUUAGACACCAUUUGGAGUCAGUUGGGUGAUGGUGCAGAAAUAGGGUCGAGCAUCGGUACGGACGGUACGGACCGUACGAACUUAGGGCGACCAAGAUCAUGUUCAGACUCAACCAUUUGAGAAGAUUGGGAGUUGGUGCAAAAAUAGGGAGAGGUACGGACAGACGGUCCGUACCAUCGACCGUACUUGUUCCGGAUCAACCUGAAAUGAAGCUGUGCAAACUUAGGGCGCAAGAGAAGACAAACCUGAGUUAUCUUGUGACUGUUUGUGGAUAAGGGAGAGCUAGGGCGUGGUCAAUGACAGGCUGUCUUUGAGCUGUAAAGAAAAAGCAUCCUUGACCAUGUAUCUAGCCAUCUUUGUGAACAAGGUUCAUGGGAGCCUUAAGGGAACCAAUCAGGAGCCAGCCCUUGCUUUGACCAGUUUGAAUCAACAAAUCAGCAUCCAUCACGUCCUCAGCAACCCACCAGACUCCAUCCUAGCCAUCCAUUUCAAUUCAGUCAUUUCUAUCCAUUAGAUUAAGGGUUUAUGAGUUUGCAAUGUGUAAAGCUUAUAAAUAAGCUAUGUAUGGACGUUUUUGUGUCUCUUAAGAGAGAGAGGGGGAUUUCCCCUCCUCCUUCAUAAUACAAAGUGUGUUCUUGGA